CCUACGGGCGGCAGCAGUGGGGAAUAUUGCACAAUGGGGGAAACCCUGAUGCAGCGACGCCGCGUGAGUGAAGACGUAAUUCGUUAUGUAAAGCUCUAUCAGCAGGGAAGAAAAUGACGGUACCUGAGUAAGAAGCUCCGGCUAACUACGUGCCAGCAGCCGCGGUAAUACGUAGGGGGCAAGCGUUAUACGGAUUUACUGGGUGUAAAGGGAGCGUAGACGGCUGUGCAAGUCUGGAGUGAAAGGCGGGGGCUCAACCCCCGGACUGCGAUUGAAACUGUACGGCUGGAGUACAGGAGAGGUAGGUGGAAUUCCUGGUGUAGCGGUGAAAUGCGUAGAUAUUAGGAGGAACACCGGUGGCGAAGGCGGCCUACUGGACUGUAACUGACGUUGAGGCUCGAAAGCGUGGGGAGCAAACAGGAUUAGAUACCCCAGUAGUC
rnacentral:rRNA from 1 species